rnacentral:lncRNA from 1 species
AUAGCGAAUCUUUCUAAAGCUCUGAUCAGUCAAGAAGGGGGUUGUAUCAAUCCUCAGAACCCUGAGUGGAACUUUCUACAGGAUUUAUUAGGAGAAAAACCUUCCCGGAAGCUGCAGAAGGACAAAUACAGAAUCCGUGUCUGGGAGAAACCUCGUGGCCUGGUCUCCAUUAUUUGAGAUGAGUUACAUCUUGGAGGACCAUAGCUGUCUGCAGUGCAGGAAGCCAACUAUUAAGGGGAAACAAAAGUGUUCUUAGGAGUCCUGCUGUCACUGUGGAUUGAGCCGGUGAAGCCCUGAGGGAUUUCAUCGCUGAGGUGGAUGGAGAAGCAGCUGGGGGCCUUGGCUGUAAGGACCCCUAAGGGCCUGAUCUUUUGGCCAGAAGGAGAUUAAAAAGAUGCCCCUCAAGAUGGCUGUGCCUGUCAGCUGCAUGGAGCUUCGUUCAAGUAUUUUCUGAGCCUGAUGGAUUUACAGUGAUCUUCAGUGGUCUGGGGAAUAACGCUGGUGGAACCAUGCACUGGAAUGACACACGCCCGGCACAUUUCAGGAUACUAAAAGUGGUUUUAAGGGA